UACGAAGGGGGCUAGCGUUGCUCGGAAUUACUGGGCGUAAAGCGUGCGCAGGCGGUUUUGUAAGUCUGUUGUGAAAUCCCCGGGCUCAACCUGGGAAUGGCAAUGGAGACUGCAAGGCUAGAGUUUGGCAGAGGGGGGUAGAAUUCCACGUGUAGCAGUGAAAUGCGUAGAUAUGUGGAGGAACACCGAUGGCGAAGGCAGCCCCCUGGGUCAAAACUGACGCUCAUGCACGAAAGCGUGGGGAGCAAACAGG
rnacentral:rRNA from 1 species